ACCUAGGUUGUGUGAUUUUCAACCGAUUGGAGCGAUUCAAAAGCCUAAAUCACUUAGAAUCUUCCCCUCUUUCAUAAUCCUAGCUUGCUUUUGAGUGGGAGUCCUUGUGGAGAGAGAUAUUGGCCCCCAAAGAUUCGCCCCUUUUGAGAAGUGUGGGGUUUUGGGAGUUUCUACCUCCAUGGAAGCUUGAGGAACACUCAUUCCUCUAUUGUGUGAUCAUUGGUGGAUUGAGGCAAGAGGACCAAGUGGAGUGACCAACCCUUGGGGUUGUGUGCAAUUGAGGAAAGCUCAAAGAGCAAGGUACUGAUAGAGGUGAGGUUGAUCGAGGCAAGAAGCAUGAGUAGACUGUACCUGAUAGCUGGACAUGUUGAGUUGCAUGCCAUUUAGCA